rnacentral:rRNA from 1 species
AACGAACGCUGGCGGCAGGCCUAACACAUGCAAGUCGAACGCCCCGCAAGGGGAGUGGCAGACGGGUGAGUAACGCGUGGGAACCUUCCCUGUGGUACGGAAUAACUGACCGAGAGGUUAGCUAAUACCGUAUACGUCCGAGAGGAGAAAGAUUUAUCGCCACAGGAUGGGCCCGCGUCGGAUUAGCUAGUUGGUGAGGUAAUGGCUCACCAAGGCGACGAUCCGUAGCUGGUCUGAGAGGAUGAUCAGCCACACUGGGACUGAGACACGGCCCAGACUCCUACGGGAGGCAGCAGUGGGGAAUAUUGGACAAUGGGCGCAAGCCUGAUCCAGCCAUGCCGCGUGAGUGAUGAAGGUCUUCGGAUUGUAAAACUCUUUCGCCGGGGAAGAUAAUGACGGUACCCGGAGAAGAAGCUCCGGCUAACUUCGUG